rnacentral:rRNA from 1 species
GAUCCUGGCUCGGGGUGAACGCUAGCUACAGGCUUAACACAUGCAAGUCGAGGGGCAGCAUGAACUUAGCUUGCUAAGUUUGAUGGCGACCGGCGCACGGGUGAGUAACACGUAUCCAACCUUCCGUUUACUCAGGGAUAGCCUUUCGAAAGAAAGAUUAAUACCUGACAGUAUGGUGAGAUUGCAUGAUAACACCAUUAAAGAUUAUUGGUAAACGAUGGGGAUGCGUUCCAUUAGGUAGUAGG